UACGAAGGGGGCUAGCGUUGCUCGGAAUCACUGGGCGUAAAGCGCACGUAGGCGGAUUGUUAAGUCAGGGGUGAAAUCCUGGAGCUCAACUCCAGAACUGCCUUUGAUACUGGCGAUCUUGAGUCCGGGGAGAGGUGAGUGGAACUGCGAGUGUAGAGGUGAAAAUUCGUAGAUAUUCGCAAGAACACCAGUGGCGAAGGCGGCUCACUGGCCCGAUACUGACGCUGAGGCACGAAAGCGUGGGGAGCAAACAGGGA
rnacentral:rRNA from 1 species